GCCUCGGUAGCGCAGCAGGCGGCACGUCAGUCUCAUAAUCUGAAGGUCGUGAGUUCGAUCCUCACCCGGGGCA
rfam:Ixodes scapularis strain Wikel colony gcontig_1108378960468, whole genome shotgun sequence.